CAUGCCAUAUGAUGAAAUAAUGUAAAGGAGGCCGUGAAAAACACUCCAGAAAGGUUUUCUUUGAAAAAAAAAUCAUCAUGAAUUUUGGCGCAAAAAAAACGCCUUACUAUACUAUGUCGAAAAAAAAUGUGAUUUUUCAAACAUGUUGUAAAAACAUGCCAUAUGAUGAAAUAAUGUAAAGGAGGCCGUGAAAAACACUCCAGAAAGGUUUUCUUUGAAAAAAAAAUCAUCAUGAAUUUUGGCGCAAAAAAACGCCUUACUAUACUAUGUCGAAAAAAAAUGCAAUUUUUCAAACAUGUUGUAAAAACGUGCCAUAUGAUGAAAUAAUGUAAAGGAGGCCGUGAAAAACAUUCC
ensembl:lncRNA